AAAACAUGCUCUUCACUGGCCUCUUUCAUCCUCUGAUUAGUUUCCUGUGCUCACUGUCUCAAGAAACUACUUGUACUCAAACAAUUGUCUGAGGGUCUGAGGGAACCCAAACUAAGACAGCAGCUCUGGGAGAGCAAAGCUUCCAGGAUCCUGUUUGCACAAGGCCUCCUGGGCCUCCGGGGAGAAAUAGUGAGUAUGGCUUGAAGCUGGUGGCUGAGCCCAGAUUCCUGGCACCUGAAUCUUCAAGAAAAUUGGAUCUCACAGGAUGCCCUCAAGUAAAACCUGCAGGUUUUCAAGGAACUCAGCCUGAAGCAGGAGGGUUAGGACUCCCGUGCUGGAACUUUUGCAGGUUCGUGGGUUGGCAGGGAAGAAUCACGUUUUGCACCUGUUACUAGAUGCUACCAUUCAGCUCUCUUCCAUCUUGGCCCUGGAUGACAUGACCCACACUUGUCAAGAAUGGAUUGAACAUCAGGGCAUUUACCUUUUUUAUUGGCAAAGUAUCAAGUGUUUUAUAGGGCAAAUGCUGCCAUCCGCCCAGCUGUGCUCAGCGGUCACUGCCAGCAAGGAUGUUUCAGCUGGGACUCACACUGGGGUGGCCUGGGAAGGACUGAAAAGGAAUGCUUAUCAACGUGCUAAGAAACCAACCCCAACGAUAAAGGAAAUACCAUUUCUUAAGAGCAUGACCUAAAAAGUCCUCUUGAGGUCGCUAUUUCUGUCAUGACGUUUAAAUUUGUAAUUUCUGCUGCAA
rnacentral:lncRNA from 1 species